CGCGGGAUGGAGCAGUCCGGUAGCUCGUCAGGCUCAUAACCUGAAGGUCGUGAGGUUCAAAUCCCACUCCCGCAC
rnacentral:tRNA from 1 species